GCUCUCUGGAGAAUCCCGCCAGCGGGUGCCGAAGGUGAAAGCAGGAAAUCUGCGAAUCUCUCAGGCAAAAGGACAGUGAAGUG
rnacentral:ncRNA from 1 species